rnacentral:rRNA from 1 species
UAGAGUUUGAUCCUGGCUCAGAUUGAACGCUGGCGGCAGGCUUAACACAUGCAAGUCGAGCGGAGAUGAGGUGCUUGCACCUUAUCUUAGCGGCGGACGGGUGAGUAAUGCUUAGGAAUCUGCCUAUUAGUGGGGGACAACAUUCCGAAAGGGAUGCUAAUACCGCAUACGUCCUACGGGAGAAAGCAGGGGAUCUUCGGACCUUGCGCUAAUAGAUGAGCCUAAGUCGGAUUAGCUAGUUGGUGGGGUAAAGGCCUACCAAGGCGACGAUCUGUAGCGGGUCUGAGAGGAUGAUCCGCCACACUGGGACUGAGACACGGCCCAGACUCCUACGGGAGGCAGCAGUGGGGAAUAUUGGACAAUGGGGGGAACCCUGAUCCAGCCAUGCCGCGUGUGUGAAGAAGGCCUUAUGGUUGUAAAGCACUUUAAGUGAGGAGGAGGCUACUGAGACUAAUACUCUUGGAUAGUGGACGUUACUCGCAGAAUAAGCACCGGCUAACUCUGUGCCAGCAGCCGCGGUAAUACAGAGGGUGCGAGCGUUAAUCGGAUUUACUGGGCGUAAAGCGUGCGUAGGCGGCUUUUAAGUCGGAUGUGAAAUCCCCGAGCUUAACUUGGGAAUUGCAUUCGAUACUGGGAAGCUAGAGUAUGGGAGAGGAUGGUAGAAUUCCAGGUGUAGCGGUGAAAUGCGUAGAGAUCUGGAGGAAUACCGAUGGCGAAGGCAGCCACCUGGCCUAAUACUGACGCUGAGGUACGAAAGCAUGGGGAGCAAACAGGAUUAGAUACCCUGGUAGUCCAUGCCGUAAACGAUGUCUACUAGCCGUUGGGGCCUUUGAGGCUUUAGUGACGCAGCUAACGCGAUAAGUAGACCGCCUGGGGAGUACGGUCGCAAGACUAAAACUCAAAUGAAUUGACGGGGGCCCGCACAAGCGGUGGAGCAUGUGGUUUAAUUCGAUGCAACGCGAAGA